AUGUCCCUCUGCAUUUCCCCUGUCCCCCUCUCUCUCCCAUCUCCUUCUCCUUUUCCUAUCUCUCAUCUCCUUCUCCCUCUUCCAUCUCCCUCAUUCCCUCUUCCAUUUUUCUCUUCUCUCUCCUCUUUCUGUUCCCAGGCCAUCCAUCCCAUUGAUACGAAUUUUGGCUCCAUGCAUCAUUCUCCUCUUGCUACUGGUGGUGGUUAUAGCAACUCUCCUGGUCCUGUCAGCAAGAAGAAAGAAAGCUCAGCUUGUACUGGAAACAGGAAAGAAUGGGCAGUUUCACUACUCAAACUCGGGAAACAAAUCACUAGACUGAUGCUUGAUCUAAGAACAUUCUCACAUGGAAGAGUUCCCAGGUGUGGCCCACAUAUGAGCCCCAAAAAUCAGAAACCUGGUUUUCUUUCCAUGGUUUCACUGAUUCCUCUCUUCAGGAUCAGGUCAGCUUCUGCCAUCUUGGACAUCAUGAGUGUAUCAGGGAAUGGGGCUGGCUUUGGAGUCUAUAGAGAUCUGGAUUGAGUCCCACUUCCACCUCUUACUAUCUGUAUGACCAUGGGCAGUCAAUUAAUUUCUCUGAGACCCUGUUUCUUCAUCUGUAAAGUCGGCACAAUGAUACCUAGAUGACCUACCUCACAGGGUUGUUGUGAGGCUUAAAUGAGAUUGUGUAUAUAAAAUGCUUUAUAAGUCUUAAAUGUUGGCUAUGAUUACUGGCCCUCGAUUACGUAACAAAAAAAAUGGAAUACUACUUUAUGUCCUCUUCCUACCCAAAGGAAAUACCAAGAAUAAGAACUCAACAUGGGAUAAAUUGUGACUAGAAAUACUGGCCAGUUCCGUGAGUGUUUAAUAAGUCUGAUUUAUUACGUGUGUGCCAUGUGCCAGGCACUGUGCUAGGUGAUGGGGACAAAAGACAAAUAAUGAAACAAUUCCUCCUCUAAAGAAUUCAUUUUCUAAUAUGGGACACAGUCUAACAGGCAUGGGCAUUAAGAGGAAUAGAAGCCAGAGAGAUUAAGAGUAAACAACUCUGGUUCAGGGAAAUGAGAAGAACCCUAAAAAUUCCACCAGUGGUUAGGGGGGAGAAGAGGGAAGCCAUUAAGUGGCUCAGUGGAUAGAGAGCCAGUCCUGGACACAGGAAAUCCUGGGUUCAAAUCUAGCCUCAGAUACUUCCUAACUACAUGACUCUGGGCAAGUCACUUAACCUCAAUUGCCUAGCUCUUACCAUUCUUCUGCCUUGGAACCAAUACUUAGUAUCAUUUCUAAGAUGGAAGGUAAGGGUUAGUCAAAAACAGAAAAAUCCAUUGGGAUAUGCAAGGUCACACUCUCUACAGACUUGAUCCCUCCCUCCUCUCUCCCAUAGCCCCUUCUCCCACUUGUUUUCCUUGCCUUCAGCUAAGCCUGAACUGGUAAGGCUGCCCUAAAGACUCAAGCAGAGUCUGAGAAUCUUGGAAAAGAUGAUCAAAGAACAGAGGUUAUUCAGACAUCCCCACUGCUAGAAGCAGACGCACAUGUAGAACCUUCAUCUUCCCUAGUUGAAAGUCACCCUGACACCAGGUACAAGGUGAGAAGUGAUAACAUACUGAAAAUAUCCCUGAAUUUAGAGUCAGUCAGUCAUUUAGCAUUUUCAGUUGUUUCAGGCAUGUCCGACUCCUCUUGAUCCCAUUUGGGGUUUUCUUGGUAAAGAUACUGGAGUGGUUUGCCAUUUCCUUCUCCAGCUUAUUUUACAGAUGAGGAAACCAAGGCAAACAGAAGUUAAAUGACUUGCCUCAGCUAGUGAGUGUCUAAGCUGGAUUUGAACUCAAAUUCUUCCUGAAUCCAGGUCCAGCAUUCUUUCCAGAAGUUUUUCUUGGUACCAAACCUAAAUUUAGCCUUUUUUGUAAUUUCUACCCAUUUUGCUUUGUUCUGCCCUCUGAGGACAAAAAAAAAAUAAGACUUGUUUUUCAGUCGUUUCUGUCAUGUUUGACCCUUCUCUAGCAAGGAUAUAGAAGUGGUUUACCAUUUCCUUCUCAAGCUCAUUUAACAGGUGAGGAAACUAAGGCAGAGUGUGAAGUGAUUUGCCCAGAGUCACACAGCUGGGAAGUGUCUGAGGACAUAAUUAGCAUUUAUUAAGUACUUAAUAUGUGCCAAGCACUAUGCUAAGCAUUGUGUAUACAAUGGAAGACAGGAAGACUCUCAAGGAAGUCCCUACCUAAUGGGGAUCAAACAGUGGAUAUUUACUCAAUGCCUAUUGCACAUCAGGCAUCAGAAGAUUUAGUUAGAAUUCUAGCUGUACUUCUUAGUUCACUGUGAGACUUUGGGCAAGUCACUUCCUCUGUCCAGGCCUCCAAUUCCUCUAUUGAAUAAAGGUAGAAAGUAGGACUAGAUGUUCUCUAAG
rnacentral:lncRNA from 1 species